GUGUGGGAUCAUACCAGCAUUAAUGCACCAGAUCCCAUUAGAACUCCAUAGCUAAGCGUGCAUAGGUGAGAGUAGUAUUAAGUUGGAUGACCACUUGGGAAGUCCUUGUGUUGCAUCCC
rnacentral:rRNA from 1 species